GUGUCAGCAGCCGCGGUAAUACGGGGGGGGUAAGCGUUGUUCGGAAUUACUGGGCGUAAAGGGCUCGUAGGCGGCCAACUAAGUCAGACGUGAAAUCCCUCAGCUUAACUGGGGAACUGCGUCUGAUACUGGAUGGCUUGGAUCCGGGAGAGGGAUGCGGAAUUCCAGGUGUAGCGGUGAAAUGCGUAGAUAUCUGGAGGAACACCGGUGGCGAAGGCGGCAUCCUGGACCGGUAUUGACGCUGAGGAGCGAAAGCCAGGGGAGCAAACGGGAUUAGAAACCCUUGUAGUCC
rnacentral:rRNA from 1 species